rnacentral:misc_RNA from 1 species
GAUGAAGAACGCAGUGAAAUGCGAUAAGUAAUGUGAAUUGCAGAAUUCAGUGAAUCAUCGAAUCUUUGAACGCACAUUGCGCCCGCCAGUAUUCUGGCGGGCAUGCCUGUCCGAGCGUCAUUUCAACCCUCGAACCCCUCCGGGGGGUCGGCGUUGGGGAUCGGCCCUUUCACCGGGUGCCGUCCCCCAAAUACAGUGGCGGUCUCGCCGCAGCCUCUCAUGCGCAGUAGUUUGCACACUCGCACCGGGAGCGCGGCGCGUCCACGUCCGUAAAACACCCCAAACUUCUGAAAUGUUGACCUCGGAUCAGGUAGGAAUACCCGCUGAACUUAAGCAUAUCAAUAAGCGGAGGA